CCUUGACCAACUUCAGUUUAUCAAGAUUCACUCCCCCGGGGUGAAAAAAAGCUGGUCUUCCCUCAAAACAGCCUGGAAGGAAGAUAGGGUUACAAUCAGCAGUGUCUUCUGCCCUGGGUCAUCUAUAUGCAGACUUUGGAGAACACAAAUGCCCUUAUUGAAAUGAUGGACUCUUCAUCUCAUAAUUAAAAUCCAGCCUUUCAUAGUAGUAAUUACCUAUUGAACCAAAACUGUGCAGAAUGUUAAUGAAAAAUAGCCAUUCAAUUAGAAGUCACAUAUCAAACAAAACCUCCAGCUCAACAAGCAGGCAACUAAGGAAGAGUAGAUUAAGCUACCCUGGAACAACUUGUGACACUGUGACCAACACAUAUGCUUCCUUUGACGAUGGAGGACUCCUGUGUUUUAGCUCCAUGCAUCUGGGCUGUGGCUCCCCCUAAAUCACUCAUCCCUUAACCUGGAGUUGACUGCAGAUGCGUGAAGGAGCUCAGGAGGGCCAACAGAAGAAGCAUCCAACUGAGCGCAUCUAGCUGGCAACCCACAGAAUCAUCUUGAGGAAAAUAAAUGAUUGUUGCUCAAAACC
rnacentral:lncRNA from 10 species